GCAGCCGCCGCGGUAAUACAGAGGGUGCGAGCGUUAAUCGGAUUUACUGGGCGUAAAGCGUGCGUAGGCGGCUUUUUAAGUCGGAUGUGAAAUCCCUGAGCUUAACUUAGGAAUUGCAUUCGAUACUGGGAAGCUAGAGUAUGGGAGAGGAUGGUAGAAUUCCAGGUGUAGCGGUGAAAUGCGUAGAGAUCUGGAGGAAUACCGAUGGCGAAGGCAGCCAUCUGGCCUAAUACUGACGCUGAGGUACGAAAGCAUGGGGAGCAAACAGGAUUAGAUACCCCUGUAGUCCCUGUCUCUUAUAC
rnacentral:rRNA from 1 species